rnacentral:misc_RNA from 1 species
AUAAAAUCUGCUCAUAAUCUAGAGACAAAAAUUCUUGUUCUAACAAAUACUUCAUUGUAAACCAUGUACGAACUGACCAUUUUCCUUCCCGCUUCCUUUUAAAUUGUAGCCAUUCUGACCAAGUAGAAGCACUGCCUUUUAACCGAAAAGCCACCAAUUGAACUUGUUUUUCAAGUGCUAUAUCCACAUGGUUAAAGAACCUAUCCACAUUCGCAAUCCAAUU